rnacentral:lncRNA from 1 species
UGGGCAUCGCCUAGUAAGCAGUUUUUUCACUCUCUUCUUUCUAUACUCCAUAUUCUUGCUGUGAUUGACCUCAGUUUAUGGUUUAUACUUAAGAAAGAAAAAUAUUUUCUUCUAUCUUAAAUAUGACUAUUUGAAUCCUCUUGCAUUGGAAAGUACAUUCUGAGCUGCCUAUGGUUAAGCACAGGGUUGAAGGAGGGUGUUAGCAAGCAGGUUGAGCCACGGCUUGUUGCAAAAUUAAGUUUUUUAUUUGUCUUGCUUCGUAAUUUGCCUCGUGGUUGAAAUAGCAGCAUUACCUCUAGCAGUGCUCAUUCUGCCUUUAGCCUCUCUAUUGAUACUGCUAACAACGUGAGCCAUCUAUUUUUGUGAGCGCCUUGUGACAACCAGCUCAAGUGACACGAGGCACCAAACGCAUCUAGGCGAGGCUCAGAAUAAUAAUGUACAGCAAGAAGUCUCCAUGUUCAAAUAGCAACUGCAGGUUAAUCUGGACCGAGUGUUUGUCCUUCAGCUUCUGGUCUGCAUGACAGCUAUUCACUUGAAAUAGCAUUUCAGUGGGGGAAAAAAAGAAAAAGGAAGAUGUCCCUCAUGACAGUGCUUUCAGCCAACCUUUGGAAGGCGUUGGUUUACCCUUAACAGGAAAGGUGCAGCCUCUCUGAAGGACCCAUCUCAUCCGUCUUUGGUACCCGUGAUGUUAUGAAGCAGUUUGGAGAAGAAAGUGCAGAAUGACUGCUCUGAAUGCAGCUGAAGUGGAGGAGCGUUAAGGAGAGCUGGGUAUAAUUACCUGAGCUGGAGCUCAGCCAGCACGGUGCUGAUCUGCGGAACAGGAAAGUCCUGACUCUGCACAAGGGAUCCAGGCAGAUUUGAAAGAAACUGCAAUAACACAGAUCUUGCUUCUUGGUGGGCUUCUUCCUCUCCCCCUCUACCAUUCCAGCCUCCAGAUAAUCAGCUGUCGACUCACUAAAUACUGACUGCAUCGUACCAUUGCUGGCCCUCUCAGGCAGGAGAGGUUCAGCUCUUGAGAUCAUUCUUCGAGGAUGUCAGCAAACUCGGGUAAAUGUCGUAAGACUGAUGUCACGGUUGGAAGGCUGCCCACAAAUGGUUUUUAUCAAUAUUUCUUUAAAAAGAAUAAAGUUUGAGCUCUUGUGACUGUAGAGGUGGUCUGAAUAUGUCAUAUGGGUUUAAAUAAUUUCAAAGAUAAUGUGAUUUCCAAGAUUCAUUCCUCAUGACAGAAGAGGAAAAUAAGAAUGAAAAUGGAAAAGGACAAAAAGAAAGAGCUAAUUGUGGGGGAAAAGCGCGGAAGUAGAAAUGGAAAGAAAAACAGGCAUGGAGAAGGGUGAGAAAUACAGAGUGCUCACUUCUUUUUUUUACUGAAAAGUGUGAAACUAAAUGAAAGAAAAGAAACAAAAGCCUAAAG